UAAUGCCACGCAGGUAAAAUCCUGUACACUUUCCCUCGAGGGAGGGAAAUGUCUGCCCCCACAAUUGAACAGUAGGAAGAAGAUGGAGAUAAUACCAGGGUUCGAAAUGCAAAGGAGGUGACUGAAAAAGGAGGUGCUCCUUUUCAGACAAGAAUUCCUGAAUUAACACAGGAAAGAAUGGAAGCAACAUAACAGCCAGGAACAGCAACUCCAGGAAUAAGGCCAUUGCUGGGGGAAAAAAAGAAAAGAAAAAAAAAAAAAAAAACA